rnacentral:tRNA from 1 species
GGAAAGGUGGCAGAGCGGUUUAUUGCACUGGUUUUGAAAACCAGCGUAGCUGAAAAGUUACCAGGGGUUCAAAUCCCUUCCUUUCCG